GGAGCAUCCCGAGCCUCCCAAAGCGGAAUUGCAGCUGCCGCCGCCGCCACCUCCGGGCCACUAUGGCGCCUGGGCUGCCCAGGAGCUUCAGGCCAAGUUGGCAGAGAUCGGAGCUCCGAUCCAGGGUAAUCGCGAGGAGCUGGUGGAGCGGCUGCAGACCUACACCCGCCAGACUGGCAUCGUGCUGAAUCGGCCGGUUUUGAGAGGGGAAGAUGGGGACAAAGCCGCUCCACCUCCCAUGUCAGCACAGCUCCCUGGAAUUCCCAUGCCACCACCACCUUUGGGACUCCCUCCUCUGCAGCCUCCUCCGCCACCCCCACCACCUCCACCAGGCCUUGGCCUUGGCUUUCCUAUGGCCCACCCACCAAAUUUGGGGCCCCCGCCGCCUCUCCGUGUGGGUGAGCCAGUGGCACUGUCAGAGGAGGAGCGGCUGAAGUUGGCUCAGCAGCAGGCGGCAUUGCUGAUGCAGCAGGAGGAGCGUGCCAAGCAGGUAGGGCAGGUGGAAGCCCUGGCCUUGGACUUAUUGGGUCCCUGAAGGGGCAGUGGAGCAUUAGAAAAAGCUGGGUCCUAGAACUAAGGCUUCUGGGAAGGUCGGGACUAAAGAUUGGAACAUGGG
rnacentral:sRNA from 1 species